rnacentral:rRNA from 1 species
GACGAACGCUGGCGGCGUGCUUAACACAUGCAAGUCGAACGGAAAGGCCCUGCUUUUGUGGGGUGCUCGAGUGGCGAACGGGUGAGUAACACGUGAGUAACCUGCCCUUGACUUUGGGAUAACUUCAGGAAACUGGGGCUAAUACCGGAUAGGAGCUCCUGCUGCAUGGUGGGGGUUGGAAAGUUUCGGCGGUUGGGGAUGGACUCGCGGCUUAUCAGCUUGUUGGUGGGGUAGUGGCUUACCAAGGCUUUGACGGGUAGCCGGCCUGAGAGGGUGACCGGCGACAUUGGGACUGAGAUACGGCCCAGACUCCUACGGGAGGCAGCAGUGGGGAAUAUUGCACAAUGGGCGGAAGCCUGAUGCAGCACCGCCGCGUGCGGGAUGACGGCCUUCGGGUUUUAAACCGCUUUCGCCUGUGACGAAGCGUGAGUGACGGUAAUGGGUAAAGAAGCACCGGCUAACUACGUG